UCGGUGUGAUCAAGCCUACAUCCG
rnacentral:siRNA from 1 species